rnacentral:misc_RNA from 1 species
GAAAUGCGAUAAUUAAUGUGAAUUGCAGAAUUCAGUGAAUCAUCGAGUCUUUGAACGCACAUUGCGCCCCCUGGUAUUCCGGGGGGCAUGCCUGUCCGAGCGUCAUUGCUGCCCUCAAGCACGGCUUGUGUGUUGGGCUUCCGUCCCUGGCAACGGGGACGGGCCCAAAAGGCAGUGGCGGCACCAUGUCUGGUCCUCGAGCGUAUGGGGCUUUGUCACCCGCUCCCGUAGGUCCAGCUGGCAGCUAGCCUCGCAACCAAUCUUUUUAACCAGGUUGACCUCGGAUCAGGUAGGGAUGCCCGCUGAACUUAAGC